CCCGCUGAACUUAAGCAUAUCAAUAAGCGGAGGAAAAGAAACUAACAAGGAUUCCCCUAGUAACGGCGAGUGAAGCGGGAUGAGCUCAAAUUUAAAAUCUGGUAGCCUUUGGUUGCCCGAGUUGUAAUCUAGAGAAGCGUCUUCCGCGCUGGACCGUGCACAAGUCUCCUGGAAUGGAGCGUCGUAGAGGGUGAGAAUCCCGUCUUUGGCACGGAUGCACCAGGGCUUCUGUGAUGCGCUCUCGAAGAGUCGAGUUGUUUGGGAAUGCAGCUCAAAAUGGGUGGUGAACUCCAUCUAAAGCUAAAUACUGGCGAGAGACCGAUAGCGAACAAGUACCGUGAGGGAAAGAUGAAAAGCACUUUGGAAAGAGAGUUAAACAGUACGUGAAAUUGUUAAAAGGGAAACGAUUGAAGUCAGUCGCGUCUACUUGGACUCAGCCUUACCUCGGUUUGGUGCAUUUCCUUGUGGACGGGCCAGUGUCCAUGUUGAUUGCUGGAAAAGGUUCAGGGGAAUGUGGCUCUUUUAGAGUGUUAUAGCCUCUGUUCAUAUACAGUAGUUGAUAUGGAGUGAUACAGCAUGCUUCGGCGGUGCUUGUACUGGCAUAAUGGCUUUAAACGACCCGUCUUGAAACACGG
rnacentral:rRNA from 1 species